ACCCCAAACCGACACAGGUGGUCAGGUAGAGAAUACCAAGGCGCUUGAGAGAACUCGGGUGAAGGAACUAGGCAAAAUGGUGCCGUAACUUCGGGAGAAGGCACGCUGAUAUGUAGGUGAAGCGACUUGCUCGUGGAGCUGAAAUCAGUCGAAGAUACCAGCUGGCUGCAACUGUUUAUUAAAAACACAGCACUGUGCAAACACGAAAGUGGACGUAUACGGUGUGACGCCUGCCCGGUGCCGGAAGG
rnacentral:rRNA from 1 species